AUGGCUAGCUUUAAUCUGAGUAUCCUUGGGACCCUUCAACCAGCGCAGCUGCUCCGGUGCCUAUCCCGGCCGCCAUUCCUGCCCCCAAUAGGAGGGCUAGGGUCUGCAUUCCUCCCGGGCAGAUACACCAUUUCCUAAAUCUACAUUCAGGAUUGCUUCCCAUGAUCCCUCGGCCACUCGGCAUAAAUCAAAGGGUGGCGGUACCAAGUGAGGACAGAAUUCAUCAAUUCUCUCACUGGACUCUCAGAUUCAGAAGUGUGCACUAGACCACAACAGAAAAACAGAAGAACAGACAGACAAGGGGUCGACUGAUCGUCUUACCUCCCGGCGUCUGGGUUAUUGAGAGGGGUCUUCAGAUCUCGGUGGGACCU